UGCCGGACCUGACUGCUAUCUGAUUGGUACUAAGCCAUGCGAGUCGUUGUACAAUACAAGGCGGACUGCUCAGUAACACGUAGUUAACUUAACCUAUGGAUGGGAAUAACCUCGGGAAACUGAGAAUAAUACCCAAUGGGCCACAGUGCCUGGAAUGGCCUGUGGUUGAAAUGAUUUAUCGCCGUAGGAUAGGACUGCGGCCUAUCAGCUUGUUGGUGAGGUAAUGGCCCACCAAGGCUAUAACAGGUACGGGCUCUGAGAGGAGGGGCCCGGAGAUGGGUACUGAGACACGGACCCAGGCCCUAUGGGGCGCAGCAGGCGAGAAACCUUUGCAAUGUGCGAAAGCACGACAAGGUUAAUCCGAGUGUCUCCUGCUAAAGGAGUCUUUUGUCAGUUGUAGAAUCACUGGUGAAUAAGGGGUGGGCAAGUUCUGGUGUCAGCCGCCGCGGUAAAACCAGCACCUCGAGUGGUCAGGAGGUUUAUUGGGCCUAAAGCAUCCGUAGCCGGUUGCAUAAGUUUUCGGUUAAAUCUAUGCGCUUAACGUAUAGGCCGCCGAAAAUACUGUGCAGCUAGGGAGUGGGAGAGGUACACGGUACUCGAUAGGAAGGGGUAAAAUCUUUGAUCUAUUGAAGACCACC
rnacentral:rRNA from 1 species